rnacentral:rRNA from 1 species
UACGAAGGGGGCUAGCGUUGUUCGGAAUUACUGGGCGUAAAGCGUGCGCAGGCGGCCUUCCAAGUCAGGGGUGAAAGCCCAGAGCUCAACUCCAGAACUGCCUUUGAUACUGAGGAUCUUGAGUUCGGGAGAGGUGAGUGGAACUGCGAGUGUAGAGGUGAAAUUCGUAGAUAUUCGCAAGAACACCAGUGGCGAAGGCGGCUCACUGGCCCGGUACUGACGCUGAGGUGCGAAAGCGUGGGGAGCAAACAGG